rnacentral:rRNA from 2 species
GGUGUGACUGCGUACCUUUUGUAUAAUGGGUCAGCGACUUAUAUUCUGUAGCAAGGUUAACCGUAUAGGGGAGCCGCAGGGAAACCGAGUCUUAACUGGGCGUUAAGUUGCAGGGUAUAGACCCGAAACCCGGUGAUCUAGCCAUGGGCAGGUUGAAGGUUGGGUAACACUAACUGGAGGACCGAACCGACUAAUGUUGAAAAAUUAGCGGAUGACUUGUGGCUGGGGGUGAAAGGCCAAUCAAACCGGGAGAUAGCUGGUUCUCCCCGAAAGCUAUUUAGGUAGCGCCUCGUGAACUCAUCUUCGGGGGUAGAGCACUGUUUCGGCUAGGGGGUCAUCCCGACUUACCAACCCGAUGCAAACUACGAAUACCGAAGAAUGUUAUCACGGGAGACACACGGCGGGUGCUAACGUCCGUCGUGAAGAGGGAAACAACCCAGACCGCCAGCUAAGGUCCCAAAGUCAUGGUUAAGUGGGAAACGAUGUGGGAAGGCACAGACAGCCAGGAUGUUGGCUUAGAAGCAGCCAUCAUUUAAAGAAAGCGUAAUAGCUCACUGGUCGAGUCGGCCUGCGCGGAAGAUGUAACGGGGCUAAACCAUGCACCGAAGCUGCGGCAGCGACACGAUGUGUUGUUGGGUAGGGGAGCGUUCUGUAAGCCUGCGAAGGUGNNNNCCUGUGAGGGUUGCUGGAGGUAUCAGAAGUGCGAAUGCUGACAUAAGUAACGAUAAAGCGGGUGAAAAGCCCGCUCGCCGGAAGACCAAGGGUUCCUGUCCAACGUUAAUCGGGGCAGGGUGAGUCGACCCCUAAGGCGAGGCCGAAAGGCGUAGUCGAUGGGAAACAGGUUAAUAUUCCUGUACUUGGUGUUACUGCGAAGGGGGGACGGAGAAGGCUAUGUUAGCCGGGCGACGGUUGUCCCGGUUUAAGCAUGUAGGCUGGUUAUCCAGGCAAAUCCGGAUAAUCAAGGCUGAGGUGUGAUGACGAGGCACUACGGUGCUGAAGUAACAAAUGCCCUGCUUCCAGGAAAAGCCUCUAAGCAUCAGGUAACAUCAAAUCGUACCCCAAACCGACACAGGUGGUCAGGUAGAGAAUACCAAGGCGCUUGAGAGAACUCGGGUGAAGGAACUAGGCAAAAUGGUGCCGUAACUUCGGGAGAAGGCACGCUGGUGUGUAGGUGAAGNUGGAGCUGAGACCAGUCGAAGAUACCAGCUGGCUGCAACUGUUUAUUAAAAACACAGCACUGUGCAAACACGAAAGUGGACGUAUACGGUGUGACGCCUGCCCGGUGCCGGAAGGUUAAUUGAUGGGGUUAUCCGUAAGGAGAAGCUCUUGAUCGAAGCCCCGGUAAACGGCGGCCGUAACUAUAACGGUCCUAAGGUAGCGAAAUUCCUUGUCGGGUAAGUUCCGACCUGCACGAAUGGCGUAAUGAUGGCCAGGCUGUCUCCACCCGAGACUCAGUGAAAUUGAACUCGCUGUGAAGAUGCAGUGUACCCGCGGCAAGACGGAAAGACCCCGUGAACCUUUACUAUAGCUUGACACUGAACAUUGAGCCUUGAUGUGUAGGAUAGGUGGGAGGCUUUGAAGCGUGGACGCCAGUCUGCGUGGAGCCAACCUUGAAAUACCACCCUUUAAUGUUUGAUGUUCUAACGUAGGCCCCUUAUCGGGGUUGCGGACAGUGUCUGGUGGGUAGUUUGACUGGGGCGGUCUCCUCCCAAAGCGUAACGGAGGAGCACGAAGGUUAGCUAAUCCUGGUCGGACAUCAGGAGGUUAGUGCAAUGGCAUAAGCUAGCUUGACUGCGAGCGUGACGGCGCGAGCAGGUGCGAAAGCAGGUCAUAGUGAUCCGGUGGUUCUGAAUGGAAGGGCCAUCGCUCAACGGAUAAAAGGUACUCCGGGGAUAACAGGCUGAUACCGCCCAAGAGUUCAUAUCGACGGCGGUGUUUGGCACCUCGAUGUCGGCUCAUCACAUCCUGGGGCUGAAGUAGGUCCCAAGGGUAUGGCUGUUCGCCAUUUAAAGUGGUACGCGAGCUGGGUUUAGAACGUCGUGAGACAGUUCGGUCCCUAUCUGCCGUGGGCGCUGGAGAAUUGAGGGGGGCUGCUCCUAGUACGAGAGGACCGGAGUGGACGCAUCACUGGUGUUCGGGUUGUCAUGCCAAUGGCACUGCCCGGUAGCUAAAUGCGGAAGAGAUAAGUGCUGAAAGCAUCUAAGCACGAAACUUGCCCCGAGAUGAGUUCUCCCUGAGACUUUAAGUCUCCUGAAGGAACGUUNNNNNNNNNNNNNNNNNNGACGUUGAUAGGCCGGGUGUGUAAGCGCAGCGAUGCGUUGAGCUAACCGGUACUAAUGAACCGUGAGGCUUAACCUU